CACAAGUGUGUUGGAUAUUAUGCAUAUGUUUACCCUUUUUACAGAUUCCAGUAAAAUCUUUUUACUUUAGGUUCAAAAGAAGAAAGAAGAUAACAAUGGAGACAUGCAUGUAUUAUCCAAGUGUUGUUGUGUGGAGCCAAGAUCAAAGCAUUUCGGUUCAAAAGCUGUUGUUGCUCAUUCAUCAUUGUAGAAGGGCUAGUGAAGAAGGAUGUUAUGGUGUGCAGUAUAAUUGCAUAGCUGCUCCACCAUAUUCAGAACCAUAAACAAACUGGUGAAUAUUUAGAUUUUGAGGCAAAUUCACCUGCUGCUGAAAUUGAUUGGAAGGUGUUUGAACUAAAGCAGGAUUUGAUGCCACUGAAGUUUUAUAAACUCUUGGAGUCAGCUCAAGUACAACACUUUGUGCCAUUAGUGGCUUACUUUCGUGUCAGCUAUAUUUGCAUAUGCUUUGUGAUUGUGUGGAUCCAAGUCCAACUGGUACUGCACAAACUGAGUACUGAUGAAAUUGUUGGUAUGAUUGUGGUACAUAAAUUGAGUAGCAGGAUAGAUUGGAACCUAACCUGUUGUACCAGUAGUACCAUGAAUAUAAACAAUUUGAUGUUGCUAGUUAUUAUCAGAAACUUCACUUUUUAUA